AUACGUAUGUCGCAAGCGUUAUCCGGAUUUAUUGGGCGUAAAGCGCGUCUAGGCGGCUUAGUAAGUCUGAUGUGAAAAUGCGGGGCUCAACCCCGUAUUGCGUUGGAAACUGCUAAACUAGAGUACUGGAGAGGUAGGCGGAACUACAAGUGUAGAGGUGAAAUUCGUAGAUAUUUGUAGGGAUGCCAAUGGGGAAGCCAGCCUACUGGACAGAUACUGACGCUAAAGCGCGAAAGCGUGGGUAGCAAACAGGAUUAGAUACCCUGGUAGUCCACGCCGUAAACGAUGAUUACUAGGUGUUGGGGGUCGAACCUCAGCGCCCAAGCUAACGCGAUAAGUAAUCCGCCUGGGGAGUACGUACGCAAGUAUGAAACUCAAAGGAAUUGACGGGG
rnacentral:rRNA from 1 species